UAAUUACAUUUUGCUUUGUUAAUUAUUAUUUAUGGUAAAAUUCUGAUUUUGUUAUGAAGUAUGGAGAAUUAUAUGUUCAUAAAGAAUAUAGGUGAAGGCUCAUUUGGUAAGGCUGUUUUAGUUAAGAAGAAAAAUAAUGGGAGACAAUAUGUGAUUAAAGAAAUAUGUAUUUCUAAAAUGUCUAUUAAAGAGCAAUCAGAAGCUCAUAAAGAGGCAUCAGUUUUGUCUCAACUCAAGCAUCCUAAUAUUGUCAGCUAUUUAGAAUCAUUUCA
rnacentral:lncRNA from 1 species